rnacentral:rRNA from 1 species
GCUUAGAGUUUGAUCCUGGCUCAGAUUGAACGCUGGCGGCAUGCUUUACACAUGCAAGUCGAACGGUAACAGGUCUUCGGAUGCUGACGAGUGGCGAACGGGUGAGUAAUACAUCGGAACGUGCCUAGUAGUGGGGGAUAACUACUCGAAAGAGUAGCUAAUACCGCAUGAGAUCUACGGAUGAAAGCAGGGGACCUUCGGGCCUUGUGCUACUAGAGCGGCUGAUGGCAGAUUAGGUAGUUGGUGGGGUAAAGGCUUACCAAGCCUGCGAUCUGUAGCUGGUCUGAGAGGACGACCAGCCACACUGGGACUGAGACACGGCCCAGACUCCUACGGGAGGCAGCAGUGGGGAAUUUUGGACAAUGGGCGAAAGCCUGAUCCAGCAAUGCCGCGUGCAGGAUGAAGGCCCUCGGGUUGUAAACUGCUUUUGUACGGAACGAAAAGCCUGGGGCUAAUAUCCCCGGGUCAUGACGGUACCGUAAGAAUAAGCACCGGCUAACUACGUGCCAGCAGCCGCGGUAAUACGUAGGGUGCAAGCGUUAAUCGGAAUUACUGGGCGUAAAGCGUGCGCAGGCGGUUUUGUAAGACAGUGGUGAAAUCCCCGGGCUCAACCUGGGAACUGCCAUUGUGACUGCAAGGCUAGAGUGCGGCAGAGGGGGAUGGAAUUCCGCGUGUAGCAGUGAAAUGCGUAGAUAUGCGGAGGAACACCGAUGGCGAAGGCAAUCCCCUGGGCCUGCACUGACGCUCAUGCACGAAAGCGUGGGGAGCAAACAGGAUUAGAUACCCUGGUAGUCCACGCCCUAAACGAUGUCAACUGGUUGUUGGGUCUUUACUGACUCAGUAACGAAGCUAACGCGUGAAGUUGACCGCCUGGGGAGU